CCUACGGGAGGCAGCAGUAAGGAAUAUUGGACAAUGCUCGCAAGAGUGAUCCAGCCAUGCCGCGUGCAGGAAGAAUGCCCUAUGGGUAGUAAACUGCUUUUGAACUAGAGAAAACCCCAGUACGUGUACUGGGCUGAUAGUAUAGUUAGAAUAAGCAUCGGCUAACUUCGUGCCAGCAGCCGCGGUAAGACGAAGGAUGCAAGCGUUAUCCGGAUUCAUUGGGUUUAAAGGGAGCGUAGGUGGACUGAUAAGUCAGUGGUGAAAUCUCCGAGCUUAACUCGGAAAUUGCCAUUGAUACUGUUGGUCUUGAGUACAGUUGCUGUGGGCGGAAUAUGACAUGUAGUGGUGAAAUACAUAGAGAUGUCAUAGAACACCGAUUGCGAAGGCAGCUCACAAAGCUGUAACUGACACUGAGGCUCGAAAGUGCGGGGAUCAAACAGGAUUAGAUACCCUGGUAGUCCGCACCGUAAACGAUGAUUACUCGCUGCUAGGGGGCAACCUUUAGUGGCUUAGCGAAAGCGAUAAGUAAUCCACCUGGGGAGUACGCCGGCAACGGUGAAACGUCAAAUGAAUUGACGGCGNGAGAGNGCGAGACGACGACGAGGGGAGAGG
rnacentral:rRNA from 1 species